CUGACUUGGACAUGUCUGCAGAAAAUCCAAUAAAAACGUUCGGGGAAAAACAUUAAAUCGUUUUGCUUAUUUGGAACUUUGAAAUGUGAGGGAACACUGACUUGUGAGUGAUUAGAGUACAAAGAAUAUAAGAGAUGGAACAUUUAAAAAAAAAAAAAUCAUUUGUUCAACAAUUUGUAAAGGACUGCACCUGUGUAUAAAUACAGCCAACAAUUCUUCUCCCUUGCAGCCAUCGUCCUGUCUCACCUCUCCUCCAUCAGCUGUAUAAAAAACAUUUGUCCUCCUCUACAGCCUCAUGGCUUCUCUUCAACUCCCUCUCAGCUGCUUCUGCCUGAGUUCCAACUCAUUCACCUACUCUUUGUCCCACAGGUCCCUUAUACACUGCCUGUCCAAAAAAAAAAAAAAAAAGUCGGCACUUGGAUUUAACUAAGUGUGACCAGCUGAUUAGCCAUCAUGCCAUACAGCUGUGGGGGAACUAAUGAUUGGUUUGGCCGUUGUAGCAGGGGGUCCAAAUUGAUUGACGGACGUAGCUCCAGUAUACUCCUGAACACUCCUGGACAGACCAGUCUUCUGUGGCUGCAGUGCAGAGUCUGCUGACGGUGUCUCUGCUUAUCGGCUGCGUCAUGCGUGUGUAGGGUCGGACAUCCGAGGUGUUUUGGCUUCAGCAUAUGGAAAGGAAGAGACUGACCCACCAGUCCUGCAAUUAUGAGUCGAGCAGGCUGGAUAGUCUGCUCUACUACCUAAGCUACAUCCACCCACUGUGAGCACUGUGUGGGUGUCCAGAGGAAACCCAGAAAGACGGUGCAAAGAUAAAAGUGAUCAGUUUCAAGAGCUACUUGUCUGAACCUAUGGACCCUCUGAUCACGCUUCACAGUGUGGAUAGAAAGCAGGAAGCUUCAAAUGCACAUAUAAUGGAGGCUGUAUAGUGAUGGAAGUGAGAUAAGCACUUUGCACCCAGUGUACUUUAUGGAAGAACAUAUUGUUUGCAUUGACAUGUAUUAAAAGUAAUGAACAGCUAUGUGCAUAUAACAUGUAA